CGAAAUGCGAUACUUGGUGUGAAUUGCAGAAUCCCGUGAACCAUCGAGUUUUUGAACGCAAGUUGCGCCCGAAGCCUUCGGCUGAGGGCACGUCUGCCUGGGCGUCACGCAUCGCGUCUCCCCUAAAUCCACCCCGAGUGGAGGGGAAGGAGGAU
rnacentral:rRNA from 1 species